rnacentral:misc_RNA from 1 species
GAUGAAGAACGCAGCGAAAUGCGAUAAGUAAUGUGAAUUGCAGAAUUCAGUGAAUCAUCGAAUCUUUGAACGCACAUUGCGCCCGCCAGUAUUCUGGCGGGCAUGCCUGUUCGAGCGUCAUUUCAACCCUCAGGCCCUCAGUGCCUGGUGUUGGGGAUCGGCCCAGCCUUCCUGUAAGGCCGCCGGCCCCGAAAUCUAGUGGCGGUCUCGCUGUAGUCCUCCUCUGCGUAGUAGCACAACCUCGCAGUUGGAACGCGGCGGUGGCCAUGCCGUUAAACACCCCACUUCUGAAAGUUGACCUCGGAUCAGGUAGGAAUACCCGCUGAACUUAAGCAUAUCAAUAAGCGGAGGA